rnacentral:rRNA from 1 species
GACAGAGGGUGCAAACGUUGUUCGGAAUUACUGGGCGUAAAGCGCGCGUAGGUGGCUUCGUAAGUCCGUUGUGAAAGUCAAAGGCUCAACCUUUGAAAGCCGAUGGAUACUGUGAAGCUAGAGUACGGAAGAGGCGAGUGGAAUUCCUGGUGUAGCGGUGGAAUGCGCAGAUAUCAGGAGGAACACCAAUAGCGAAGGCAGCUCGCUGGGACGUUACUGACACUGAGGCGCGAAAGCGUGGGGAGCGAACAGG